GUUGCACUAUCGUUAACUGAAUACAUAGGUUAACGAGGCGAACCGGGGGAACUGAAACAUCUAAGUACCCCGAGGAAAAGAAAUCAACCGAGAUUCCCCCAGUAGCGGCGAGCGAACGGGGAGCAGCCCAGAGUCUGAAUCAGCUUGUGUGUUAGUGGAACGGUCUGGAAAGUCCGACGGUACAGGGUGAUAGUCCCGUAACACCAAAAUGCACAGGCUGUGAACUCGAAGAGUAGGGCGGGACACGUGGUAUCCUGUCUGAAUAUGGGGG
rnacentral:rRNA from 1 species